GAUGAAGAACGCAGCGAAAUGCGAUAAGUAGUGUGAAUUGCAGAAUUCAGUGAAUCAUCGAAUCUUUGAACGCACAUUGCGCCCCUUGGUAUUCCAUGGGGCAUGCCUGUUCGAGCGUCAUUUGUACCUUCAAGCUUUGCUUGGUGUUGGGUGUUUGUCCAUUCUCUUGCAGAGGGACUCGCCUUAAAGUAAUUGGCAGCCAGUGUUUUGGUUUUGAAGCGCAGCACAAGUCGCGAUUCAAAGCUAUACGCCCGCUUCCAAAAGCCUUUUUCACUUUUGACCUCGGAUCAGGUAGGGAUACCCGCUGAACUUAAGCAUAUCAAUAAGCGGAGGA
rnacentral:misc_RNA from 1 species